GACGAACGCUGGCGGCGUGCCUAACACAUGCAAGUCGAGCGGGGUCCAUCCGGUAGCAAUACCGGGGAAGACCUAGCGGCGAACGGGUGAGUAACACGUGAGAAACCUGCCCCGAAGUCUGGGAUAACCCGAGGAAACUCGAGCUAAUACCGGAUGUCUUCUUCUGAUCGCAUGGUCGGAUGAAGAAAGAUUUAUCGCUUCGGGAGGGUCUCGCGGCCUAUCAGCUAGUUGGCGGGGUAACGGCCCACCAAGGCGUCGACGGGUAGCUGGUCUGAGAGGACGAUCAGCCACACUGGGACUGAGACACGGCCCAGACUCCUACGGGAGGCAGCAGUGGGGAAUAUUGCGCAAUGGGCGAAAGCCUGACGCAGCAACGCCGCGUGCGGGAUGAAGGCCUUCGGUUGUAAACCGCUUUCAGUGGGGACGAAUUCAGACGGUACCCACAGAAGAAGCCCGGCCAACUACGUGCCAGCAGCCGCGGUAA
rnacentral:rRNA from 1 species